GCCGUCGUGCGGCCAGUGGUGGUGGGGUGGGAACAGGAUACAGAGUUGGGGAAAGGGUAGAGGAUGAUGGCAUCAUGGAGCUCGUCACCACCCACGGCAUCGGCCCGGGGCCUGCGCCGCUCACCAGUCGCGGGCGGCGGCGGCUAACGGAAGGUGGGCGCGGAAGCAUCUCGGAACACCCGGGCUCCGGCUAGUAGUAGUACAUAUCGGAUCGAAGCAGCGAGCGAGGGCGCGCGGGGUAGGGUUCAGGUUCGGAUUGAUUGAGCCGCCCGCGCCGUCUGUCUAUUUCGGGGCUCUGGCGCCGCCGGCCAUGGGCGGCCUCCGCCUCUCCGCCUGGGCCGCCGCGCCCUCCCCCUCCCCCUCCUCCGCCGCCGCGCGGGGCUUCCCGCGGUCCCCGCCGGACUGGCGCGGGCUGGAGCGCGGGAGUGGGCGCGGGCGCCGCAGCCGCUGCGCCCCGUCGUCCCCGCCCUCGGCGUCGCCGGCGCUGUCCCUGGGCGCGGCCGGCCGGCUCCGGGUCGGGGCGGACCGCGAGUGGCUGUGGGACUGCCGUGGCGGCGGCCUCGGGGGAGGAGGGGGGAAGAAGGACUACGCCAAGGAGAUGGAGGCGGCGGUGCGCGUCGUCCAGGUGGCCUGCACGCUGUGCCAGCGGGUGCAGGACUCGCUGCUCCUUGCGGACCCAGGCUCCGGCUCUGCCGGCGUCCACUCCAAGCUCGACCGCUCUCCGGUCACCGUCGCCGAUUGGGGCGUGCAAGCGACAGUCAGCUGGCUACUCUCAGAUUGCUUUGGUGAUGAAAGUGUGUCGAUCGUAGCAGAGGAAGAUGAUAAGACACUGUCUAGUAGCGACGGCACGGCUUUGCUUGAGUCUGUUGUCUCUGCAGUCAAUGGUUGCCUGGUUGAAGCUCCAAAGUAUGGGCUGAGAUCCCCGGAGAAAGACCUCGGGGCUCACGAUGUUCUUCAAGCUAUACGGAAGUGCAGCUCUACCGGGGGUCCAAAAGGAAGAUUUUGGGUGCUUGAUCCUGUGGAUGGCACACUUGGUUUUGUGCGUGGGGACCAAUACGCCAUUGCCCUCGCCUUAAUUGAAGACGGGGAAGUUGUGCUUGGUGUUCUCGGGUGCCCAAAUUAUCCAAUGAAGAAGGAAUGGCUCAACUACCACCAACGAUACUACAGGUUGAUGUCUAAGGUUGCUCCCCCUACAUCAGGAUCGUGGAACAAGGGUUGCGUGAUGUAUGCUCACAAAGGAUGUGGCCAGGCUUGGAUGCAGCCAUUGGUUCAUGACUUCGGUAUGCUUAGUUGGCAUAACUCAAGGGAGGUUCAAGUAUCAUCCGUCAGUGAUCCAGUUUCAGCAACAUUCUGUGAACCUGUUGAGAAAGCCAACUCGAGCCAUUCCUUCACUGCAGGACUUGCCCAUAGUGUAGGCUUAAGAAACCAGCCUCUGCGUGUGUACAGCAUGGUGAAAUAUGCUGCAAUAGCACGAGGUGAUGCUGAAAUCUUCAUGAAAUUCGCUAGAGCUGGAUACAAGGAGAAGAUAUGGGAUCACGCCGCAGGGGUGGUCAUCAUUCAAGAGGCUGGUGGAGUGGUAACAGAUGCCGGAGGUUGCCCGUUGGACUUUUCCAGGGGUGUUUACUUGGAGGGUUUGGACAGAGGCAUAAUAGCUUGUUCCGGAGCGUUGCUUCAUCAGAGAAUUUUGCAAGCUGUUGAUGCAAGUUGGAACUCAUCAACGUUGUAAUGCAAGCAACCCAAACCCUUACAGUCAGAUAGAUGGCCUGAUGCUGGUCAUAGCAUGCAAGAGUAACUCGACUCAUUUUGGUAUGAAGAAUUAGUCUCCAGUGUUCAAUUAACGUUGAAAUAGUGGAGCGUGUAGUAACCAUAGCUUGUCUGCUCAUAAACAAUCUGCGGCAUGAGAUCGACGAAUACCAUCAUUUGUUCGCCAAGAGCAUCUGUAAAGAUGUCUAGUGGCUGUUUUGAUGGUUUGUAUCAUCCAUUUCUCCCUCGGGCAUAACUCAUACGCUCCUUGGGUUGAUGGCACGUCGACUAAAUCAUCAGUCGUGAGCAAUUUGCUGAACCUGAUAACUCGAAUCUCUGAACCUUCGAUAAAAUGAUCCCAUGAUGCAUUGUC